rnacentral:rRNA from 1 species
GACGAACGCUGGCGGCGUGCCUAACACAUGCAAGUCGAACGGAAAGACCAUGCUUUUGUGGUCUUCUCGAGUGGCGAACGGGUGAGUGACACGUGAGUAACCUGCUCUUGACUGUGGGAUAACUUCUGGAGACUGCGGCUAAUAACGCAUAGUAACUCCUGCAGCACGGAGGGGGUUAGAAACUGUCGGCGGUUGGGGAUAGAAUCGCGGCUUAUCAGCUUGCUUGUGGGGUAGUGGCUUACCAAGGCUUUGACGGAUCGCCGACCUGAGAGGGUUAACACCGACAUUAGGACUGAGAGAGGGACCAGACGCGUACGGUAGGCAGCAGUGGGAAACAUUGCGCAAUGGGGGGACGCCUGAUGCAGCGACGCUGCGUGCGGGAUGACCGCCUUCGGGUGGUGAACCGAUUUAGCCUGAGACGAAGGGUGAGUGACGGUAAUGGGUAAAGAAGCACCGGCUAACUACGUG